rnacentral:rRNA from 1 species
UAUGUGAUCGUCUCUCGCAUAUCAAUAAGCGGAGGAAAAGAAACUAACAAGGAUUCCCCUAGUAACGGCGAGUGAAGCGGGAAGAGCUCAAAUUUGAAAUCUUAAAGGGUUUCCCUUUACGAAUUGUAGUUUAAAGAAGUGUUUUCUGUUGAGGUUUUGGUAAAAGUUCUUUGGAAUAGGACAUCAUAGAGGGUGAGAAUCCCGUAUUUGACCUUUACUUUCAACUUUGUGAUACACUUUCAAAGAGUCGGAUUGUUUGGGAAUGCAGUCCAAAAUGGGUGGUAAAUUUCAUCUAAAGCUAAAUAUUGGCGAGAGACCGAUAGCGAACAAGUACCGUGAGGGAAAGAUGAAAAGAACUUUGAAAAGAGAGUUAAACAGUACGUGAAAUUGUCAAAAGGGAAGCGUUUGACACCAGUGUUGUUUUUCUGAAAAUCAAUUAAAGAACUGUUUAUGCUAAGCUGUUUAGACUUUAUCAGCUACUGUUUAGUUUUGAGCUUUUCUUAAUGCACUUUUCAGUUAACAAGUCAACAUCAAUUUCUUUUGCUGUAAAAAAGCUUGAGGAAGGUGGCUUGAGAUUCGUCUUAAGUGUUUAUAGCCUCUUGCCUAUGCAGUCGGAGAGAUUGAGGUCUGCAGCGUAGAUCCUUCGGGGCUAAAUGCAUUUGUGCUAAGUUAUAACAUUUUAUAGACAACUUGUUGACUAUGAUUUGUCUUGUAGCUUACUCGCUUAUGUUAUUUUACCUACGCUUAGGAUGUUGAGUAGCGACAUACGCAC